AAGUCCAAAGUUAAAAUUCUAGGGCAUUCCACUCAUGGCUGGGGGAUCCUAUCCUGGAGCUGAAUUACCCACAUCCCUGGGGGAAGAGGAAGGGCACUGGCCUAAAGCCUGCAGACCCGUCUCCUUUAUAGUCCUGGCUCUUGCUUAUUAUCCAGGGAUCCAGCUUGUCAGUUUGCAGCUUAGUUUUCUCAUCUGUAAUGUGGGCACCAUAACCCCUGUCCUGUGGGCUUUAGAUGUUAGGGACAUGAGAUGAAGUGACUGAUAGGGAGGUCCUUUGACAUGUAAAAUGCUCUCCCAUUGUGUGUGUGUGUGUGUGUUUGCGCACUGGGAAGGGUGGAAGUUAUCCAAGGAGUCCCCAGGAUUGUGGCCUCAGCUUGGCCUGGCAGAGCAGUACCUUCCUGGGCGGAGGUCAAAGCCAGGUCCUUUUCCCACGGUCAACACCAAGGCCUGGGUCCUCUUUGUUGUUCCUGGCUCCUCUCCUAGCAACCAAAGUUUCAAAGAAGGUUCUGCAGAGCAAUGGGGACCUUGUCUCUUAGCUUCCUAAGAAGAGGGACCAGUUGGACUAAGAGUUCAGAUCCUGGGCAGCAGCAUUAGACCACCUUGGGCAAGUGCAGGGAGCAGCUCUGCCAGCAAGUCAAGUUCAUGGCCUAAGGCUUGACCUCAGCCUUAGCCUGAUAAUGGAAAACUCAGAGAUCAGACCUAGACCAGCUGUCUUGCUGGCCCUACACUUUGGUUAUAAUUCUGGCAAGAGGCUCCAAGAGACGCCCCUAACUGCCCCUUCCUCAAUCCUCACACCAUUCACACUGAGAGCUUCCUCUGCUCCCCAGACAGAGACUUCAGAGCCAGACCCAGGCCUUCCCUCUGGCAAUUAGAGGAAAAGCUGUUCCAAGACUUCUACCUACAACUUGUGAGUGACUCUGGCCACUCAGCCAUGAUCUCACGGCCUGAUUCAACCACCUUCCCCACCUGAAUUUUUGUUACUGACAGAAAUGGGGACCCAUGCGGGUAACAGUGAAACUCUGCUGUGUCUUCAACUUCCUCCCCAGUUGGACUAAAUUAUCCAGGUCAGGCUGGCAGUGUUCCAGUCCUAGAGAGGAAGCAUUCUGGCAACUCAGGACCUCUUCUGAAUGAUACUAUCCUAUUACAAGUCCAAGGUAGUCCUUUCUCCUUCCAUGAUUUUGCUCCCUGAAUUCUACCCUGAUCUUCUCGUCCUUCUCCUUCUUAAUUUACCACCUCCAGAGGCUUCCUUAGUCCUUAGUCAAUAAAUGGGCAAGCGUGUGCAUGUUUGAAGGUAAUGAGGAGGAGAUGGCGAUGAUAAGAGUAACCACCAGGGGGAGCCUGUGCCUAAGAAGACACUUGACUAGAGGCAUAAGGGGGCCACUCAGGACUUUUCUUCCCUUUUU